rnacentral:rRNA from 1 species
UACGUAGGGUGCAAGCGUUGUCCGGAAUUAUUGGGCGUAAAGAGCCUGUAGGCGGUUUGUCGCGUCUGCUGUGAAAAUCCGGGGCUCAACCCCGGACUUGCAGUGGGGUACGGGCAGGCUCGAGUUCGGUGGGGGAGACUGGAAUUCCUGGUGUAGCGGUGAAAUGCGCAGAUAUCAGGAGGAACACCGGUGGCGAAGGCGGGUCUCUGGGCCGAUACUGACGCUGAGGAGCGAAAGCGUGGGGAGCAAACAGG